rnacentral:misc_RNA from 1 species
GGAAGUGAAAGUCGUAACAAGGUUUCCGUAGGUGAACCUGCGGAAGGAUCAUUAAUGAGUUGUCAUGGGGUUCGAUGCUGGCAGCCAAUUUUUGGAUGCAUGUGCUUGCCCUAACAAUCAUCUUCCAAACACCUGUGCACAUUUUUGAGGGAGUCUUGAGUUGGUUGCCGCUCUUGGGUGAUUUUCUCACAUUCCCUUAAAUCAUUAUACGCUAUUAACAAUGUUGAACGUGCUCUGUGCCGCAAGGCUAUUAAUAUAAUACAACUUUUAACAACGGAUCUCUUGGCUCUC